GACGAACGCUGGCGGCGUGCUUAACACAUGCAAGUCGAACGGAAAGGCCCUGCUUUUGUGGGGUGCUCGAGUGGCGAACGGGUGAGUAACACGUGAGUAACCUGCCCUUGACUUUGGGAUAACUUCAGGAAACUGGGGCUAAUACCGGAUAGGAGCUCCUGCUGCAUGGUGGGGGUUGGAAAGUUUCGGCGGUUGGGGAUGGACUCGCGGCUUAUCAGCUUGUUGGUGGGGUAGUGGCUUACCAAGGCUUUGACGGGUAGCCGGCCUGAGAGGGUGACCGGCCACAUUGGGACUGAGAUACGGCCCAGACGCCUACGGGAGGCAGCAGUGGGGAAUAUUGCACAAUGGGCGGAAGCCUGAUGCAGCAACGCCGCGUGCGGGAUGACGGCCUUCGGGCUGUAAACCGCUUUCGCCUGUGACGAAGCGUGAGGGACGGGAAUGGGUAAAGAAGCACCGGCUAACUACGU
rnacentral:rRNA from 1 species